rnacentral:rRNA from 1 species
GACGAACGCUGGCGGCGUGCUUAACACAUGCAAGUCGAACGGAAAGGCCCUGCUUUUGUGGGGUGCUCGAGUGGCGAACGGGUGAGUAACACGUAAGUAACCUGCCCUUGACUUUGGGAUAACUUCAGGAAACUGGGGCUAAUACCGGAUAGGAGCUCCUGCUGCAUGGUGGGGGUGGGAAAGUUUGGGCGGUUGGGGAUGGACUCGCGGCUUAUCAGCUUGUUGGUGGGGUAGUGGCUUACCAAGGCUUUGACGGGUCGCCGGCCUGAGAGGGUGACCGGCCACAUUGGGACUGAGAUACGGCCCAGACUCCUACGGGAGGCAGCAGUGGGGAAUAUUGCACAAUGGGCGGAAGCCUGAUGCAGCAACGCCGCGUGCGGGAUGACGGCCUUCGGGUUGUAAACCGCUUUCGCCUGUGACGAAGCGUGAGUGACGGUAAUGGGUAAAGAAGCACCGGCUAACUACGUG